rnacentral:lncRNA from 1 species
UUGGUCCAAUCAAUUUAAUCCCCCUCACACAUAACACAACUUUUAUAAAUUCCAUUUACAGGCCGGCCAUUUGCACUCGUUCUUCUUCUUCUUCUCCACAUGCCCCACAUAAACGUCGCGCUACAAGUGCACAACGUCUCACUUUCAUCCUUUACAACUUUUCUCUCUCCCUCAUUUCCAUCACAAUUUCAUCUACUCAAAAUAAAAUAAAAAUUGAGACUACAAAAGAUAAAACACCCAAAUAUAAACUGGCCCG